UACAGAGGGUGCAAGCGUUAAUCGGAAUUAUUGGGCGUAAAGAGCUCGUAGGCGGUUUGUCGCGUCGGGAGUGAAAACACCGGGCUUAACUCGGUGCUUGCUUUCGAUACGGGCAGACUAGAGGCAUGCAGGGGAGAACGGAAUUCCUGGUGUAGCGGUGAAAUGCGCAGAUAUCAGGAGGAACACCGGUGGCGAAGGCGGUUCUCUGGGCAUGUCCUGACGCUGAGGAGCGAAAGCGUGGGGAUCAAACAGG
rnacentral:rRNA from 1 species